CGGACGGGUGAGUAGCGCGUGGGUAACCUGCCUUGUACUGGGGGACAACAGUUAGAAAUGACUGCUAAUACCGCAUAAGCGCACAGUAUCGCAUGAUACAGUGUGAAAAACUCCGGUGGUACAAGAUGGACCCGCGUCUGAUUAGCUAGUUGGUAAGGUAACGGCUUACCAAGGCGACGAUCAGUAGCCGACCUGAGAGGGUGACCGGCCACAUUGGGACUGAGACACGGCCCAA
rnacentral:rRNA from 1 species